rfam:Chlamydomonas reinhardtii strain CC-503 cw92 mt+ CHLREscaffold_39 genomic scaffold, whole genome shotgun sequence.
GGCCGAGUGGCCUAAUGGAUAAGGCGUCACCCUCCGAUCGAUCACGAUGGACAUAGUUGAAGAUUGCGGGUUCGAGUCCCGCCUUGGUCG